rnacentral:rRNA from 1 species
AUGGCGUACCCGUAUGUCUUCCACGCGCAGGCGCCACCGGCCAGAGCGGAGGAGCACAAGUCCAAGGGCGCAAUGCCGCAGCCACAGGUCAGGCCCCAGUGGCCUGUCGGCAGCGGCGCCGGGCGUGGGUGUGGCGGCGGCGGAGCCGGGUGGAUGGGUCUUGGCUCCCGGGAGAGGCAGCUCGCGAGUGCUUAUGAUCUCGUGGAGCAGAUGCAUUACCUGUACGUGCGCGUCGUUAAGGCGCGCGGGAUCCCCGUGGGCGCGGUCACCGGCGGCUGCAACCCCUACGUCGAGGUGCGCCUCGGCAACUACCGCGGCACGACGCCGCACCACGACAGGAAGUCGAGCCCGGAGUGGAACCAGGUCUUCGCCUUCUCCAGGGAGCGCGUCCAGGCCACGGCGCUCGAGGUGUUCGUCAGGGACAGGGACGCCGUGGCGCGCGACGACUACGUCGGCAGGGUCGCGUUCGACAUCAGCGAGGUGCCGCUGCGCGUGCCGCCCGACAGCCCGCUCGCGCCGCAGUGGUACCGCCUCGAGAGCGUGCGCCAUGGUGGCAAGAUGGUGCUGCCGACCGAGGUCAUGCUCGCGGUGUGGGUCGGCACGCAGGCCGACGAGGCGUUUGGGGACGCAUGGCACGCCGACGCGGCGUCGGCGCGCGGCGGCGCUGAUGGUGUGGCCGCGGUGCAGAGCGCGCGGUCCAAGGUGUACGUGACGCCUAAGCUGUGGUACCUCCGGAUAAACGUGCUGGAGGCACAGGACGUCGUGACGGGCGGCUUCGUCGGCGACAAGGUCCGGCAGCACGUCGAGGUCUUCGCCAAGGUGCAAGUCGGCGGCAUGAUGCUCCGGACCAAGCCGUGCGCCAUGAGGAAUCCGACAAGCCUGGCGUGGAACGAGGAGCUGGUCUUCGUUGUGGCGGAGCCGUUCGAGGACCCGGCGGUGCUCAUCGUCGAGGCCCGGGCGCACCCCGGCAAGGACGAGAUCGUCGGGCGUGCCGUGCUGCCGCUCACGAUCUUCGAGAAGCGCCUCGAACGCGGGGCGGUCCACUCGCAGUGGUUCAGCCUGGAGCCGUUCGGGCAUCCUUUGCGCCGGCCGGAAGCCACUUUCGCCGGCCGCGUCCACCUCCGGGCGUGCCUCGAGGGCGCGUACCACGUCAUGGACGAGCCGACCAUGUACGUCAGCGACACGCGCCCGACGGCGCGGCAGCUGUGGCGCCCUCCCGUCGGCGUGCUCGAGGUCGGCGUCCUCGGCGCGCAGGGACUCACUCCCAUGAAGACCGCCGACGGGCGGGGCACCACAGACGCCUACUGCGUGGCCAAGUACGGGCAGAAGUGGGUGCGCACGCGCACCGUCGUGGACUCGUGCAGCCCGCGGUGGAACGAGCAGUACACGUGGGAGGUCUACGACCCCUGCACGGUGCUCGCGCUCGCCAUGUUCGACAACUGCCACCUCGGCAAAGCCAAUGCCGCCGCCGGCAACGCCGUCCUCAGAGACCAGGUGAUGGGCAAGGUGAGGAUACGCCUCUCCACGCUGGAGAUGGACAAGGUGUACACCAACGCGCACCAUCUCGUCGUGCUGCACCCGUCCGGCGUGCGCAAGAACGGCGAGCUCUGCCUCGCCGUGCGCCUCACCUCCGUCUCUCUCGCCAGCGUUAUGUGCUUGUACGGGAAGCCCCUCCUCCCCAAGAUGCACUACGUCCAGCCUUUCGCCAUCCCGCAGCUCGACGCGCUCCGGCGCCAGGCGAUGAGCAUCGUGGCGGCGCGGCUGAGCCGGGCCGAGCCGCCGCUGCGGCGGGAGGUCGUGGAGUACAUGCUGGACGCGGGCUCGCACCUGUGGAGCAUGCGGCGGAGCAAGGCCAACUUCUUCCGGGUCACGGCGCUGCUGUCCGGCGCCGCCAGCACGGCGCGGUGGCUCGUGGACGUGUGCCACUGGAGGAACCCGGUGACCACCGUGCUGGUGCACUUGCUCUUCGUCACGCUCAUGUGCUUCCCGGAGCUCAUCCUGCCGACCAUGUUCCUGUACAUGGCCCUGGCCGGCCUGUGGAACUACCGGCGCCGGCCCCGCCGGCCGGCGAGCAUGGACGCGAGGCUCUCCUGCGCGGAGGCGACUCACCCCGACGAGAUCGACGAGGAGCUGGACACGUUCCCGACGUCGAAGCCGAACGACGUGGUGCGGCUGCGGUACGACCGGCUGCGGAGCGUGGCCGGGCGGAUCCAGACGGUGGUCGGCGACGUGGCGACGCAGGGGGAGAGGGUGCGGUCGCUGCUCGCGUGGAGGGACCCAAGGGCGACGGCGCUGUUCACGGCGCUCUGCCUCGUCGCCGCCGUGACGCUGUACGUCACGCCGCUCCGGGUCGUGGCGCUCGUCGCCGGGCUGUACGCGCUCCGCCACCCGCGGUUCCGGAGCCGGAUGCCGUCGGCCGCCGGCAACUUCUUCAAGAGGCUGCCCUCCAGGGCCGACACCAUGUUGUAG